UUUUCCAUGGACACAGCCUAGCAGAAAGACGCAGCCUUCAUGCUUCGCUGACUGCUGACCGCUGACCGACCGCCUUGAUGACAGCACCCUCGUGUGCCUUCCCAGUUCAGUUCCGGCAGCCCUCAGUCAGCGGCCUCUCGCAGAUAACCAAGAGCCUGUAUAUCAGCAAUGGUGUGGCCGCCAACAACAAGCUCAUGCUGUCUAGCAACCAGAUCACCAUGGUCAUUAAUGUCUCAGUGGAGCGUGGAGAUGAAGCAGGGCCGUACUCUGCUGCACUGCGCUGCUGGUGUGAGCCGCUCAGCCGCCCUGUGCCUCGCCUACCUCAUGAAGUACCACGCCAUGUCCCUGCUGGACGCCCACACGUGGACCAAGUCAUGCAGGCCCAUCAUCCGACCCAACAGCGGCUUUUGGGAGCAGCUCAUCCACUAUGAGUUUCAGUUGUUUGGCAAGAACACUGUGCACAUGGUCAGUUCCCCAAUGGGAAUGAUCCCUGACAUCUAUGAGAAGGAAGUCCGUUUGAUGAUUCCACUGUGAGCCAUCCCACCAGCCCCUGCAUUGGAGUCAGAGGUACAGAUCUAUUGUUGAUCCUACACCAAGAUCCAAACUUGAACAUUCUACUUUUGUUUAUACGGAAAAAAACAGAUGAUGCCUUUUAUGAGCACAAGGAAAAAGAGUUGCUGUAGCUUUUAACUUUGUAAUCCAUUUUUUUAAAGAGUGAACUCACUAGUUGUGAAAUGGUGAAGGUCAAUUUUCUGCCCUGUGAGUGACAGGCCUCUGCUGGCCAGGGGAUAGGUUGAGGCAGAUGAUUCCCAGAAGAAAGAGGCCAGCACCCACUGCACAUGGCAGGCCUGGAAUCCUGCAUCCCUCCCCAAAACCGAGUGACCCAGGAAUGAAUCUGCUACAAUUCCACCUCGUUCUUCCACACCCAGAGCCAGAACCUUAAGCAUCAUGGUACCUCUUGCGCUUCUCACAAAACAAGUUGAAGUACCUGGCCUUCCUCCGCAAGCACAUAAACAGCAACCCUUCCGUAUGCACCUGCCACUUCUGGGCCCCCACCACUUCCAGGUCCCCAGCCGCAUCUUCUGGUGGACGGCGAGGCAAGGAGACCAAGGAGGCCAGGCCGCCCAGGACUACUUCAAGGUGUGUAAUGGCAUCCCACCGCCCUAUGACAAAAAAGCGGGUGGUGGUUCCUGCUGCCUUCCAGGUCGUGCAUCUGAAGCCUACAAGGAAGUUUGCCUACCUGGGGCACCUGGCUCACAAGGUUGGCUGGAAGUACCAGACAGUGGCAGCCGCCCUCCAGGAGAAGAGGAAGAAGGCCAAGAUCCACUACCGGAAUAA
rnacentral:lncRNA from 1 species